CUCAACACAAAAAAACAAAACAGAGCAAUUUGUUCAUCUCAAAGAGCCAGUGAGGUGGAGACAGAAUUUAAACCUACUGUUACCGUUGCAUCACUCAGAGUGUGCAGCAGGAUGCGUAAAGCAUCGGUCAGGAUCAGGAAGGAGGGAGAGGAAACCUCUGCCAGUAAAGGCAUCCAUGACAGCAGCCAGACACUACUGUGAUGAGCGAACUAGAGAAAACCCAGAAUUCCAGAUCUCCAUAGUGACUUCCCUUAUGUGAUUACUUUCAUUUGAUGUAUGUGGCCUCCCUCCACCAAUCGUGGGUAAAAUUAUUCUAGCCAAACCUCACUUCAAUUCUGGUUCAUCCAGCAUCACUAUGAGAAUUGUCAUGAAAACUUGCAACAAUGAUCACAGCACGAUUACUAAAAUCACUCACUGAACUCCUGUUACAAAGGCGUGCAUGACAGUGGUAAUCCAUACUUGAAGCUUAUCCAUCGUGUUCCUGGGAGUGUUCGCCAUGCAGGAAGUCUAUCGAAAAACAUGGUGAUGCUGAGCAUCGUGUUCUACUGGCUCACACUGCUAAGGCAAGGACUUUAGGAGUGUUGGAAGAAUUUUCAAUCUGGGAGGAAGAGCAUCUCCAGGUUCCCUGCCAGAGGACAGACACCAACUUGUCAGGGUGAGACUUUGAUCCCACAAUGUAAGUGGCUCCUUCGCAAUCGCUCAAGGCAAGAUUCUCCAUUGUUCCUGACUUGAGAUCACAACCAUCUACCAAAGCUACACACAAGGAGGUUGGUGUUAGCUUCAGGAAGGGAGGGAGCACAUCUUGGUCCUUUCUAAAAAGUGGUUUGUGACACUAAAUGAGACUGGGAAAUGUCUCAUGUUCAGUACUGGUCAUUUCAGAAAAACAUUUACUAUAAAUAAAAUAAUAAUAAAAAUG